GCUGUCAUUCUUAAUAGGCCAGUCGUCAUAAUAGAAGGCUCAGUGACGCCACAAGUCGAUUUAGAGUGAAUAAACAGAGCGGGAGAGUAGUCUAGCAGAGACUAGAGGUGAAUUCAAGGCAAUAACACAAAACAUCACCAGUGGCACAUCACCAGCUAAAUAGAAGCAUGUUCUUUGUGGUGAAAGAAGGUUCUUCAGAUUAUAUAAAGAACCGCAUUGAGUGGAUGGGACACGCAUGUUGGAGAGUGACAUCAGACGCUCUAUUUGUGUGGCCGCUGUGACACAAUCAUCAAAGCUGUCCUCGUGCGCCCUCGUCUGUUGGAAAAAAUAAGAGCUCUCUCUCUCUCUCUCUCUCUCUCUCUCUCGCCGACCCCCCCCCCCCCCCCCCCCCCCCCCCCCCCCCCCCCCCCCCGCUUUCUCUCAGUGGUCAAUUUUGGUGUUCCUUAUUGACAAGGAAAAACUUUGUCUUCCAAAAACAUUUGAGGCAUAGCUACCUAUAACGAGAACCUGUGAGAUAUCAUAAAAGAAUACAUUUAAAGUAAAAUGAUGGUGAAAAUAAAAUGAGUAGUGCACAAAAUGUAAAAUAAAAU
ensembl:lncRNA